CAGUAUUUAAUAGGAAAUGUGUGGUGCUAGGCUUCAAGCAGCCAUUUUCACUGCAGGUCUUCCUUGCAACCAGUCAGCCACAGUAACAUGGCUGCAGCAGGCUGAUACACACACUGAAUUAGCCUGCUCUGUGACUGGCAUGAAAAUAGACUGAAAAGGAGGACCACGAACUGCUGAAGCAAGUAAGGUAAGUAAUAGACUUUGAGAAUUGUUUAAUUUAUAAUAGCAAUAGGACCGAAUUUGGGCCGAUUGGAUAAUCG